rnacentral:rRNA from 1 species
CCUACGGGUGGCAGCAGUGAGGAAUAUUGGUCAAUGGACGAGAGUCUGAACCAGCCAAGUAGCGUGAAGGAUGACUGCCCUAUGGGUUGUAAACUUCUUUUAUAAAGGAAUAAAACGAGGCACGUGUGCCUUUUUGCAUGUACUUUAUGAAUAAGGAUCGGCUAACUCCGUGCCAGCAGCCGCGGUAAUACGGAGGAUCCGAGCGUUAUCCGGAUUUAUUGGGUUUAAAGGGAGCGUAGAUGGGUUGUUAAGGCAGAUGUGAAAGUUUGCGGCUCAACCGUAAAAUUGCAAUUGAUACUGGCAGUCUUGAGUACAGUUGAGGUAGGAGGAAUUCGUGGUGUAGCGGUGAAAUGCUUAGAUAUCACGAAGAACCCCGAUUGCGAAGGCAGCUUACUAAACUGUGACUGACAUUGAGGCUCGAAAGUGUGGGGAUCAAACAGGAUUAGAUACCCUUGUAGUC